rnacentral:rRNA from 1 species
CUCAGUUCAGAUUGCAGGCUGCAACCCGCCUGCAUGAAGUCGGAAUUGCUAGUAAUCGCGGAUCAGCAUGCCGCGGUGAAUACGUUCCCGGGCCUUGUACACACCGCCCGUCACACCAUGGGAGCCGGUAAUACCCGAAGUCAGUAGUCCAACCUCGUGAGGACGCUGCCGAAGGUAGGAUUGGCGACUGGGGUGAAGUCGUAACAAGGUAGC